GGGAGAUUGAUGCUGCCAUAAAAAUAACCAGGAAUAGAAAAUUACAGUAAAUAUGACAUAAAUUAUCUUUAUUCCUGGCUAAUCGUAGCAGCAUCACUCGUGUAAUACCAUGCAUAACAACCAAUCAGGAAGGGAAAAAAUGACUCAAUACAAACUUAUGAAAGUGAGAACAAAUUUUAUUAAAGUGAGGAUUAGAAGAAAGAACUUAUUUGCCAAAG